rnacentral:rRNA from 1 species
AGAGUUUGAUCCUGGCUCAGAACGAACGUUAGCGGCGCGCUUAACACAUGCAAGUCGUGCGAGAAAGGGGAAACCCCGGUAAAGCGGCGCACGGGUGAGUAACACGUAGGUAAUCUGCCCCCAGGUGGUGGAUAACCUUCCGAAAGGAGGGCUAAUACAGCAUAAGACCACGGUCCCGCAAGGGACUGAGGUCAAAAGCC